UCAUCCAAACUGGGCACACUGUCCCAUAUAGCCAGGAUAUGCGUCCUCUUUGGAUAUUG
ensembl:miRNA mdo-mir-7305 mdo-mir-7305